rnacentral:rRNA from 1 species
GACGAACGCUGGCGGCGUGCUUAACACAUGCAAGUCGAGCGGUAAGGCCCUUUCGGGGGUACACGAGCGGCGAACGGGUGAGUAACACGUGGGUGACCUGCCCUCAGCUCUGGGAUAAGCCUGGGAAACUGGGUCUAAUACCGGAUAUGACUCCAUGACGCAUGUUGUGGGGUGGAAAGCCUUGUGCGGCUGAGGAUGGGCCCGCGGCCUAUCAGCUUGUUGGUGGGGUGANGGCCUACCAAGGCGACGACGGGUAGCCGGCCUGAGAGGGCGACCAGCCACACUGGGACUGAGACACGGCCCAGACUCCUACGGGAGGCAGCAGUGGGGAAUCUUGCGCAAUGGGCGAAAGCCUGACGCAGCGACGCCGCGUGAAGGAUGAAAUCCUUCGGGGAUGUAAACUUCGCAAAUAUGGGAAGAACACAAUGACGGUACCAUAUGUAAG